rnacentral:rRNA from 1 species
GGUGGAUGCCUUGGCACUAAGAGCCGAUGAAAGACGUGAUAAGCUGCGAAAAGCUUCGGGGAGGAGCACAUAUCCAAUGAUCCGGAGAUAUCUGAAUGGGGAAACCCGGCAGAGGAAACCUCUGUCAGCGUGCAGUGAAUACAUAGCUGUACGUGGGGAACCCGGGGAACUGAAACAUCUAAGUACCCGGAGGAAGAGAAAGAAAAUUUAUCGAUUUCCAAAGUAGCGGCGAGCGAAAUGGAAAGAGGCCAAACCGGAGUGCGUGCACUCCGGGGUUCGGACCGCAUUUAAGAUCUGAUGAUCCUAGCAGAAAGGUUUUGGGAAAGCCUGCCGGAGAGGGUGAAAGCCCCGUAAGCGAAAGGAAAGCCAGCUGAGCGGUAUCCAGAGUACAUCGAGACACGAGAAACCUUGAUGGAAUGAGCGGGGACCACCCCGUAAGCCUAAAUACUACUUAGUGACCGAUAGCGCAUAGUACUGUGAAGGAAAGGUGAAAAGGACCCCGGGAGGGGAGUGAAAGAGAACCUGAAACCCUGUGUCUACAAGCUGUGGGACCUCUUUAUAUGAGGGACUGCGUACUUUUUGUAGAACGGUCCGGCGAGUUGUGCGUACUGGCGAGGUUAAGGACUUAAGGUCUGGAGCCGAAGUGAAAGCAAGCGUUAAUAGCGCGUCAAGUCAGUGAGUGCAGACCCGAAACCGGGUGACCUAUCCAUGUCCAGGUUGAAGCUUCCGUAAGAGGAAGUGGAGGACCGAACCCACAUCCGUUGAAAAGGGUGGGGAUGAGGUGUGGAUAGCGGAGAAAUUCCAAUCGAACCCGGAGAUAGCUGGUUCUCCUCGAAAUAGCUUUAGGGCUAGCCUCAUGAGAGUCUUAUGGAGGUAGAGCACUGAAUUGCCUAGGGGGCGUCAAAGCUUACCAAAGCAUAUCAAACUCCGAAUGCCAUCAAGAUGAUUCAUGGGAGUCAGACCAUACGAGAUAAGUUGGAUGGUCAAAAGGGAAAGAGCCCAGACCUACAGCUAAGGUCCCAAAGUGCGUGUUAAGUGGAAAAGGAUGUGGGAUUUCGAAGACAACUAGGAUGUUGGCUCAGAAGCAGCCACACAUUAAAAGAGUGCGUAAUAGCUCACUAGUCGAGAGGUCCUGCGCCGAAAAUGUCCGGGGCUGAAACACAACACCGAAGCUUAGGAAUGUAGUGAUACAUUGGUAGAGGAGCAUUCUUAAAGGAAUGAAGCAGUACCGGUAAGGAGCUGUGGACUUUUAAGAAGAGAGAAUGCCGGAAUGAGUAGCGAGAUGGAGGUGGGAAUCCUCCAGGCCGAAUAUCUAAGGUUUCCAGAGUAAAGCUGAUCUGCUCUGGGUAAGUCGGGACCUAAGGCGAGGUCGAAAGACGUAGUCGAUGGAUAACAGGUUGAAAUUCCUGUACCGCAUAUAAACAGAACUGUGGGGACACAGACAGGGAAUGGAAUCCGGGAAUGGAUAUCCCGGUGCAAGCGAGGUAGGAGUGCUGUUGGCAAAUCCGCAGCACGAUCUGAAGACGUGACGCGUACCGAACAUAAGUAGGGAAGUCCAGGCCCCUGGCUGUCAAGAAAAGCCGCUAUUGUUUUAUAUGUGCCCGUACCGCAAACCGACACAGGUGGAUGAGGAGAGAAUCCUAAGGCCGACGGGAGAAGUAUUGUUAAGGAACUCGGCAAAAUGACUCCGUAACUUCGGGAGAAGGAGUGCCAUGAGAGUGGCCGCAGAGAAAUGGCCCAAGCAACUGUUUAGCAAAAACACAGGUCUAUGCAAAACCGCAAGGUGAAGUAUAUGGGCUGACGCCUGCCCGGUGCUGGAAGGUUAAGGGGAGAGGUUAGCGCAAGCGAAGCUUUGAACUUAAGCCCCAGUAAACGGCGGCCGUAACGAUAACGGUCCUAAGGUAGCGAAAUUCCUUGUCGGGUAAGUUCCGACCCGCACGAA